rnacentral:tRNA from 4 species
AGGGAGGUAGCAAAAUGGCUGAAUGCAACGGAUUCCAAAUCCGUCGGGGAAACCCCAUUGCAGGUUCGAGUCCUGUCCUCCCUGCCA